rnacentral:tRNA from 1 species
GGGUGGUUAGCUCAGUUGGAUAGAUGCAUCCCGGCUUACAGUCGGGAGGGUCAUCGGUUCGACUCCGGUAUCCUCCA